GUAAUUAUUAAUAGUAAAAAAUAAAAUAAUGAAUAUUGUUAAAUAAAAAUAAUAAAUAUAUAUAAAAUUAACUAAUUAAUUAAUUUCUUACAAUUAUAGACAAUGACAUUUCCAUUAACCCUGUCUGAGUGACACGUCGUGAGGCCAUUACGUCACAUGAUCAACGGCUGUUUGUCAACAGAUGACAUUGCACCCUCAACGUUUGUUUUUUUAUAAUAGGUUGAUAUUUAGCUCAAGAAUUAUCUGUAAAUACAAAAUUUGUACAUAUAACAAUCCUGUUCAUUCGUAGUUAUCUGUUUGUUUACAUAUUAACUUUUUUUGUUGUUGUUUAUUCGGUUUUAGGCUUAAGGUUAAUUUGUCCGUUGUUGAGAAAAGACAGCCAAACAGGUUUGGAACAAGUGAAUGAGUUCUCUACAGUCAACUGACAACUACAUAACACUUACACAUUCUGUCCCUCAAAAAUAAGGUUCUUGCAGCUUAAAAAAAAUGUACCUGAUAGUGGAGUUCAUUCACGAAGGGAGUACCGGACCUGUCGCAAAGUCUUGGUACUCAGAGGGUCACUCGUGGUGGCCUCCAUACAAGGAGAUAGACAGGGUGUUGAAGAGUGUCCGGUUGAUGGAGGCACCACAACCAGAUAAAGGUUGGACCAAGCAUCAGGCCAGAAUU
rnacentral:lncRNA from 1 species